GGCCUCCCGAGGUGCCGGGAUUGCAGACGGAGUCUCCCUCACUCAGUGCUCAAUGGUGCCCAGGCUGGAGUGCAGUGGCGUGAUCUCGGCUCCCUACAACCUCCACCUCCCAGCCGCCUGCCUUGGCCUCCCAAAGUGCCGAGACUGCAGCCUCUGCCCGGCCGCCACCCCGUCUGGGAAGUGAGGAGCGUCUCUGCCUGGCCGCCCAUCGUCUGGGAUGUGAGGAGCCCCUCUGCCCGGCCGCCCAGUCUGGGAAGUGAGGAGUGCCUCUUCCUGGCCGCCAUCCCAUCUGGGAAGUGAGGAGCGUCUCUGCCCGGCCACCCGUCGUCUGAGAUGUGGGGAGCGCCUCUGCCGGGCCGCCCAUCGUCUGGGAUGUGAGGAGAGCCUCUUCCCGGCCGCCAUCCCGUCUAGGAAGCGAGGAGCGUCUCUAACCGGCCGCCCCGUCUGAGAAAUAACCUCUUCUCUGUGGGAAGAGAAGUUUCGCAUUCUGUUUGGCACAGCAGCAACUGCCCCAGGAUACUGCAAAUUCCUGAAACCAAAGCUGGAACCAGUUCAGAAGGAACAGGGACCUUGAAGGCUUUAAAGACAGACAGGCCUGAAUUUGGUUACAUCUUGGCCUCACAAUAGAAAAGUGAUUUAGGGAAAUGAUGCAAUCUCUUCAUCCAUAACAUGGAGUUCAUAAUAACAGACACUUCACAGAAUGAUUGAUGGAGCAGAGGAAGUAAUGUUCAUAUGAUGUCUGGAAGAAAGCAAGCCCCCAAGAAAUGAUUGUCAUUGAGACAGCCAGGUGGGAAGGGGUCCGCAGAGAAACUCCAACCUGCCUGCACACUGGGGUGGAGUUACAGAAGUUCGCACUGUUUGCAGCGGGGAGGAGCCUGGCCCCUCCUCUUCCUGGGUGGAAACUGGGAUUCGAUCUGCAAGGCAGGAAGCGCACCAGCAGGGACUCCAGCUUCGUGGAGGGUCUCUGUUUCCCAUUUUUCCCCUUUUUGUCCAAUAAGCUCCUUUUUUCUCACUCUUCAAAGUGUCUGCAAGCCUAAUCUCUCAUGACCUUGUGACAACAGCCUGGCUCUUAGCUGAACUAAGGAAAAAGUCCUACAACAUCGUCAUGACCAUCACCAUUAUCAUCAUUGCUGUUAUCACCUUCAUCACCAUCACCAUCAUAUCAGCAACAUGAUCAUCAACACCAUCAUCACCACCACCACCACCAUCACCAUUAUCUUCAUCAUCACCAUCAUGUCAUCAUCACCAAUCACCAUCACCAAUAUCAUCACCAUCAUCCAACAUCAUCACCACCACAAUGACCGUAUGACUUGAAAUGGCCAGGGUCCUUCCCUGAUUCUCACUGUCCCCUUCUGAAGUCAGGGCUCACACAUCAAAAGCUAAAAAAACAAAAACAAAAACAAAAAACAGUUCCUGCUUCCCAAGCCCAUUAGAUUCAGACAUCCUUAAUUUGUUGGAGCAGUUGCCUUAACAAAAAGCCAUCCAUCCACUGGACAUCUGCCAUAAGCUCACCAGUUUUUGCUUUAUGUGUGGAGUGGGAACCAGAUUUUAUCAGUGCUAACACGGAAGCCGCACCUAGGAGUGAUUAAAAGGGAAGUAGGAAAUGCAGCCAGACAGCCGCCUGCAGCCCUAGCUGCCCUCCCUUGGAAUCUGGGAGAGGUCUGAGUAUCAGGUCAGGUCUGAGUUUUAUAAAUGGGCCUGAAACUGCCCUUGGCUUUGAGGUUCUGACAGGUAACUUGGCCGGGUCUUCUUCUCUUGAGGCCUUGUGUUGGUGAGCCCCCUGCUCCACAGACCUGCCUUAGCCAGGCAGACUUGGCUCCCAGCCUCCCUUUCCACACUACAAAUUGAGUUUUAAUUGGCAAUUCUUAUCUAUUAUUAAGAACAAUUACAUGAAUUCCCAGGAAUUUUUUUACCAAGUAGAUAAAAAUAGAUACACCUGGGUUCUUUUUGGGAUGGUAAACUUACUUGAUGCAGUGCAGCAGAUGGGGCCAUGCUGAUUGGCAAGGCAGAGGCCAGGCCUUUGUGGGAUGCACAGCACAGAGACGGUAUUUCUCCUGCCCCUUCGUUCUUUACCAGGAUGCCUUUUGGAGUGCAUUCCAGCGGGG
rnacentral:lncRNA from 10 species